rnacentral:rRNA from 1 species
ACGUACGACGGACCUUCGGGUCUAGUGGCGCACGGGUGCGUAACGCGUGGGAACCUGCCUUUAGGUUCGGAAUAACAGUGAGAAAUUACUGCUAAUACCGGAUGAUGUCUUCGGACCAAAGAUUUAUCGGCAAAGGAUGAACCCGCGUAGGAUUAGCUAGUUGGUGGGGUAAAGGCCUACCAAGGCGACGAUCCUUAGCUGGUCUGAGAGGAUGAUCAGCCACACUGGGACUGAGACACGGCCCAGACUCCUACGGGAGGCAGCAGUGGGGAAUAUUGGACAAUGGGCGAAAGCCUGAUCCAGCAAUGCCGCGUGAGUGAUGAAGGCCUUCGGGUUGUAAAGCUCUUUUACCAGGGAUGAUAAUGACAGUACCUGGAGAAUAAGCUCCGGCUAACUCCGUG